CACAUAAGCAAUGACUAAAAGUGAGGUGUCUAGCUUUAAAAAAAAAAAAAAAGAAAACAGGUUGAAAGAGACAUUUCUUUCCCAAAUGAACAAGAAUUUAACUCCAAGAAUACCACUAAUUGUUAAAGGUGAUGCUUUUUAGCUUGCAACUUCUUUUCCUCUUACUAACAAAUCAUAAUACAGAACUCAGUAUGCUGGAGAAGGUUGUCAAUUAUUAGAGUUAACAUAUGUGUAGAAAUGUCUGCUAAACGGAUGUUUAUAGGACUUGAAAAAAGCUGCUACUUUUUAGAAGACUCGUGAUUUGAAAGUCAAUAUCCACGGAAGAUCCAUAUCUUUGCUUUUAACCUUCAGUGACCACAGCCAUGUACUACCAAAAGAUAAUUCAUGUUUUCAGUCUCAAACAACUUAAGGGUAAUGGAGCAGAGAAGUACAAAGGAACUGGAGACUAAAUACAACCUAAAGCCAUGUAGGAUGUAAGACAAGUGCAAAGUGAAAUUCAGAAAGAAAAUGAUAAAGAGGAAGUAAAGCUCAAUGGGGAGAACUGGGAGAAGAUCUCGGCAAGGAACUUCAGCCUAUUUGCUCUGUCCUUUACCACUGGUGUUCGCACAAACCUGUGUGAUUAGCUCACAAGGUCAUUCAGUCUGGCUACUAUGCCAGCAACAGAGUGAGGCAAGAAUCCCUGAAUUGCACCUAGUCAUCUCUGAUUUUAGGCUUCGUCCACAAAAGGCAUUCCAUGGAACAAAACCCAUCACUGCAAAUCCGAAUGUUUAUAAGAAACUGAAAAAGAAGCAAAUGGCUAGCUAUGAAUUUGAUGCACAGUCCUGUUUAAGGAAGAUGGUCAUCACUGAAAUAUCCCUGGCACCUCUGAAAAACAGACCUAUUCAUAAGUAUCUGUCAAGCACAGAAGAGAGCACGAAGUCCAGAUCAAGAUGACAAUGUCAGCGAAAAGAACUUGACUACUUCUUUGCUAUGGCCUUGCCUCCUGCAGGGCCACUAAUAGGGCUUGUAAAGAAAAGAAGGAAGAAAUAAAGUGUGCACUAGGAAAACCUCUAA